AUUGAACGCUGGCGGCAGGCCUAACACAUGCAAGUCGAACGAGUGGCGGACGGGUGAGUAAUGUCUGGGAACCUGCCUGAUGGAGGGGGAUAACUACUGGAAACGGUAGCUAAUACCGCAUACCAUCGGAUGUGCCCAGAUGGGAUUAGCUAGUGGGUGGGGUAACGGCUCACCUAGGCGACGAUCCCUAGCUGGUCUGCGAGGAUGACCAGCCACACUGGAACUGAGACACGGUCCAGACUCCUACGGGAGGCAGCAGUGGGGAAUAUUGCACAAUGGGCGCAAGCCUGAUGCAGCCAUGCCGCGUGUAUGAAGAAGGCCUUCGGGUUGUAAAGUACUUUCAGCAGGGAGGCGUUACCCGCAGAAGAAGCACCGGCUAACUCCGUGCCAGCCGCCGCGGUAAUUC
rnacentral:rRNA from 1 species